rnacentral:rRNA from 1 species
GUUGCUACACAGCGAUGUGAUGCUAAUCUCAAAAAGCCGAUCGUAGUCCGGAUUGGAGUCUGCAACUCGACUCCAUGAAGUCGGAAUCGCUAGUAAUCGCGGAUCAGAAUGCCGCGGUGAAUACGUUCCCGGGCCUUGUACACACCGCCCGUCACACCAUGGGAGUUUGUUGCACCAGAAGUAGGUAGUCUAACCUUAGGAGGGCGCU